AAAUACCUAAGUGACAGAACUAUUAACGGAGUUUUUUUAAAGGAACUAAGGAUAUUAGGUUAGUCACAUUGGAAAUUACAAAACUACCAUCACCCGUUACCUGUGUUUCCCUCAUUAGUUGCCUGACCAGGGACAAACUCACAGUCUUGCUCCUCUCAACUGGAGCUUUCAGGUCACAGAUGACUUCUGAGAGCUUGUUUCAUGUCAUCUUUACCCAAAAAAUCUCAUAAGGUGAUUUAAGUGUUUUAUGGACAUGGGUUUUAUGGACAGAAAAGUUACUUAAUAUUACGUUAUUAUUGAUGUAGUUUGGAAUUUGAAGUUAGAAUGGGUAAGUUUACUCAAGAGGAAAUUGAAAUAAAUCUAUAAUCCACUUCAUAUACCACUGUAAAUUCCAAAUG
rnacentral:lncRNA from 1 species